CUCUGUGGCGCAGCUAAAGCUGGGGAUUUAGAAAAGGUCAAGGAUUAUCUUGCCAAAGGUGUAGAUAUAAACAUUGGAGACUGGUAUGGAGAUACUCCCUUACACUCAGUUGCUAUAUAUGGACAUCUCAACAUAGUUAAACUGUUAUUGGAAAGAGCAGAUAUAGAUCCAAAUAAAGAAAAUGAGUAUACUGGUGAUACUCCCUUACAUGCAGCUGCUAGUGGUGGAUUCAUCAGCAUAGUUAAACUGUUAUUACAAAGAGCAGAUAUUGAUCCAAAUAAAGAA